AUUGAACGCUGGCGGCAGGCCUAACACAUGCAAGUCGAGCGGGGUUUUCGGGCCUAGCGGCGGACGGGUGAGUAAUGCGUAGGAAGCUACCCGAUAGAGGGGGAUACCAGUUGGAAACGACUGUUAAUACCGCAUAAUGUCUACGGACCAAAGUGUGGGACCUUCGGGCCACAUGCUAUCGGAUGCGCCUACGUGGGAUUAGCUAGUUGGUGAGGUAAUGGCUCACCAAGGCGACGAUCCCUAGCUGGUUUGAGAGGAUGAUCAGCCACACUGGAACUGAGACACGGGCCAGACUCCUACGGGAGGCAGCAGUGGGGAAUAUUGGACAAUGGGCGCAAGCCUGAUCCAGCCAUGCCGCGUGUGUGAAGAAGGCCUUCGGGUUGUAAAGCACUUUCAGCGAGGAGGAAGGGGUGAGUGUUAAUAGUACUCAUCUUUGACGUUACUCGCAGAAGAAGCACCGGCUAACUCUGUGCCAGCCGCCGCGGUAAAAC
rnacentral:rRNA from 1 species